rnacentral:rRNA from 1 species
CCCCUAGAUGUUCUGGGCCGCACGCGUGCUACACUGAGUGGAUCAGCGGGUCAGGUUGCGCGAAAGCGUUUCCUAAUCUUUAAAUCCGCUCGUGAUGGGGAUUGACGGUUGCAAUUUUCUGUCAUGAACGAGGAAUACCUUGUAAGCGCGGGUCAUCAUCCCGCGCUGAAUACGUCCCUGCCCUUUGUACACACCGCCCGUCGCUCCUACCGAUUGAGUGGUCCGGUGAGGCUUUGGGAUCUGAGCGGAAAGAGCGUUUCGCUGUUUCUGCCCGGAAAACUCAGUCGAACCUUAUCAUUUAGAGGAAGGAGAAGUCGUAACA